GUGUCAGCCGCCGCGGUAAGACGAACCGUCCGAACGUUACUCGGAAUUACUGGGCUUAAAGGGUGCGUAGGCGGCCCUGAAAGUUGGGUGUGAAAGACCUCGGCUCAACCGAGGAAUUGCGCCCAAAACUACAGGGCUUGAGGAAGGCAGAGGUGAGUGGAACUUGCGGUGGAGCGGUGAAAUGCGUUGAUAUCGCAAGGAACACCAGUGGCGAAAGCGACUCACUGGGCCUUUUCUGACGCUGAUGCACGAAAGCUAGGGGAGCGAAGAGGAUUAGAAACCCGAGUAGUCC
rnacentral:rRNA from 1 species